CUGAAUCUCUGUGCUACCCCACCUCUGACCAACAAUCUACUCUUCCUCCAGCCCAAGAAAAUGGGACACACUGCAUUCCGGCACAGCAGAAAAAUUUCCCAUAUGUUACAUCCUGCUCCUUUCCCAUUUCAUAGCUUAAAAGCAGAACUCUUCAUUAAUUUGAGGCUCCUAGAGGAGUCAGAUUCACAGCAGUGGAAAGUAGGAUGGUGGAUGCCAGAGGGAGAGAGAAUGACGCAGAGUUGCUUCGUUGCUUCAGAGUUUCAGUUCUGGAAGAUGAAGUUCUAGAGCUGGAGCUGGUGAUGGCUGCACAACAAUGUGCGUGUACUUACUGUUACUGACCUGAAAACAGCUAGGAUGG
ensembl:lncRNA